rnacentral:rRNA from 1 species
AUACGGAGGAUGCAAGCGUUAUCCGGAUUUAUUGGGUUUAAAGGGUGCGUAGGCGGUUUGCUAAGCGGGAGGUGAAAUGCCGGCGCUCAACGUCGGAAGUGCCUCCCGAACUGGUGGACUUGAAUGACUCUGCCGUGGGAGGAAUGUGUAGUGUAGCGGUGAAAUGCUUAGAGAUUACACAGAACACCGAUUGCGAAGGCAUCUCACGAAGGGUUGAUUGACGCUGAGGCACGAAAGCGUGGGGAUCAAACAGGAUUAGAUACCCUGGUAGUCCACGCAGUAAACGAUGAUGGCUAACCGCUGGGCUUAUCAGUUCAGUGGCAAGCGAAAGCGAUAAGCCAUCCACCUGGGGAGUACGACCGCAAGGUUGAAACUUAAAGGAAUUGACGGGG